rnacentral:rRNA from 1 species
UCAGUCGUACGGAGCGCGACGGGUUGUCGGAUCGGAGCGAAAAGUCUGACCGGCGACCGGAUAUAGCGUUCGUUCGAUGCAUUUCCGGAGGGUAUGCGCCACGACCGAUGCGACCGGCUAGCGAAUCCGUCGAAUUGAGGUGGAAACCUUUCGGGGUAUUCAUUACCAGUUCGUCGGCUUCUCGCUAGACCGUCGAUUGAGGCAUCGAGUGCCGAACAAAGAACGCCGGCAAAGAGUGCUCGUCUAAGCGGCGGAUAGUCGGCGGAAUAAGCCGUACCUGCUCGCAGGUUAAGUUUAUCUCCGUUCGACUCUUGAAGUCGCGGACGACGUUCAGGCGUUUGGGCGUCGGUGGCGUCCGAGACGGUCAACCGUCCGACCCGUCUUGAAACACGGACCAAGGAGUCUAACGUACGCGCGAGCUAAUGAGCGGAAAACUCAUAAGCGCAAUAAAAGUAAAAGCCGUCUCCGGCGGCGCGGGGUACGAUCCCGGCGUAUUUUCUCGAUACGUCGGGCGCAGUACCAUCCCAUCCUGAUCGCUCGUCGAUAGGGUGGAGAUUGAGUGCAUACGUUGGGACCCGAAAGAUGGUGAACUAUGCCUGAGCAGAGCGAAGCCAGAGGAAACUCUGGUGGAGGUUCGUAGCGGUUCUGACGUGCAAAUCGAUCGUCAGACUU